GGAACUCUCUUGCUUUUUCCAUGAUCCAGCGGAUGUUGGCAAUUUGAUCUCUGGUUCCUCUGCCUUUUCUAAAACCAGCUUGAACAAUCAGGAAGGACAACUUAAGAGUUUCCAAUUAGGCGGUUGUGGUGUCUUAGAACUCAGCUGUUUGUUUGACUUACAGCUGAACCACAAAGAAUCACACAAAGAAUAACACUAUAUAUUUUGUUUCCAAGAGACAGAAAGUAUGUCUAAGUGGGAAAACAUAGCUUAAUUUUUAAUCUGGAAGGAGUAUGGUGCACAGAAUUUAAAGAUGAAAAAUAAAGGCAAGAAGAGGUACCUAACUAGACUCAGCUGACAAAUACAGCAAGUAUGGGAGCCACAGGUUAUAUCCAAACCUUUCUUAUCUCAAAGACCACACUCUUGUCACUAUUCCAUCCCACCUACCUAAAGAAUAGGACUGUAUUUUGUAAAUUGAAAAUUUUAUUAAAUAUUAUUAUUA